GGUGUAGCGGUGGAAUGCGCAGAUAUCAGGAGGAACACCGAUGGCGAAGGCAGGUCUCUGGGCUGUAACUGACGCUGAGGAGCGAAAGCAUGGGGAGCGAACAGGAUUAGAUACCCUGGUAGUCCAUGCCGUAAACGUUGGGCACUAGGUGUGGGGACCAUUCCACGGUUUCCGCGCCGCAGCUAACGCAUUAAGUGCCCCGCCUGGGGAGUACGGCCGCAAGGCUAAAACUCAAAGGAAUUGACGGGGGCCCGCACAAGCGGCGGAGCAUGCGGAUUAAUUCGAUGCAACGCGAAGAACCUUACCAAGGCUUGACAUGUUCUCGAUCGCCGUAGAGAUACGGUUUCCCCUUUGGGGCGGGUUCACAGGUGGUGCAUGGUUGUCGUCAGCUCGUGUCGUGAGAUGUUGGGUUAAGUCCCGCAACGAGCGCAACCCUCGUUCCAUGUUGCCAGCACGUCGUGGUGGGGACUCAUGGGAGACUGCCGGGGUCAACUCGGAGGAAGGUGAGGACGACGUCAAAUCAUCAUGCCCCUUAUGUCUUGGGCUUCACGCAUGCUACAAUGGCCGGUACAAUGGGUUGCGAUACUGUGAGGUGGAGCUAAUCCCAAAAAGCCGGUCUCAGUUCGGAUUGGGGUCUGCAACUCGACCCCAUGAAGUCGGAGUCGCUAGUAAUCGCAGAUCAGCAACGCUGCGGUGAAUACGUUCCCGGGCCUUGUACACACCGCCCGUCAAGUCACGAAAGUUGGUAACACCCGAAGCCGGUGGCCUAAC
rnacentral:rRNA from 1 species